CCCUUAGAUGUUCUGGGCCGCACACGCGCUACACUGAAGGAGGCAGCGUGUACUCCUGGAUCGAAAGAUUUGGGUAACCCGCGAAUCUCCUUCGUGCUAGGGAUUGAGGUUUGCAAUUAUCCUUCAUGAACGAGGAAUUCCCAGUAAGUGCAAGUCAUAAGCUUGCGCUGACUACGUCCCUGCCCUUUGUACACACCGCCCGUCGCUACUACCGAUUGAAUGAUUUAGUGAGGACUUCGGACUGGGACCGAUGCGGCUUUCGGGCUGCGUCGGUAUUCUGGAAAGAUGUCCAAACUGUAUCAUUUAGAGGAAGUAAAAGACGUAACA
rnacentral:rRNA from 1 species